rnacentral:lncRNA from 1 species
GAUGAGUACGGAAACCCAGUUCGUCAGACAGACGAAUAUGGUAACCCAGCCCGCCAUGGAGGUACCAUGGGUGAUUAUGGAACCACUGGCACUACUGGAGCCUAUGGUGGCACAGCUGGAGCACAUGGGACUUAUGCAACUGGAACCACCGGCACUACCGGUACCGGUGCGUAUGCCACCCAGCCUGGCACUGAUGUGGGGAAGGAGCACCAUGGCCUUGGUGGCAUGCUUCAUCGCUCUGGUAGCGGUAGCUCUAGCUCGGUAUGCCCUCCUAAUUAAUCUCGUCUUGCUUAAAUUGUACUGAGUUGUAGUAGCAUUUAACAAAUCUUGACCAGCUUGUGAUGACUGGUAAUUAAAAAGUUCUUAUCUGUUUUCUUUUUGUUUUUUCGGUUGGGAUGCAGUCCGAGGAUGAUGGGCAAGGCGGGAGGAGGAAGAAGGGGAUGAAGGAGAAGAUAAAGGAGAAACUGCCUGGCGGUCACAAGGAGGCUCGACCUGGACAAGAAUAUUCGAGUGCUACUACAGCUCCUGGAUACGGCGGGGAAGGAGAGCAGCACGAGAAGAAAGGAAUUAUGGAUAAAAUCAAGGAGAAAUUACCAGGGGGUCACAACAACUGAAGAUCUAAUUCUAAUAAUAUGGGAUCCAAUUAUGAUAUUGUGUACCCCUAUUUUCAAUCUCAAUCUCAAUCUCGUUCGUGUCAUGUUUGUGUUUUCUGAGAUUUGAGUGUGUGGACGUCUUGAGUUUCUGUAAUUGGAAUAAAGAUGAUGAUGAUGACUCUGUAGUGUGUUUGUCCGUAUAUUCGGCGUCUUGUACUCGGGUCAUCUGGUCAUGUAUGUAUGUAACAUGUUAUGUAUCAAAUACGUGAAGUUUUGCGUUACUUUAGCGUGUGAUCGCUUGUAAGUUGUAAGGAUUACGACUCUGGUCGCAUCUAUUCUUUUUUGUCUCCUCAAACCAUAAUGCGCUAACACGAGCAGUGCAAACAAGAUUUCUUAUUAGCAAUAUAACCAGUAGUAACUCAACCCCUCAGGACCUUGAAGUCAGUAGAGUAGUUGUAGGCUCUUGUAAUUGUACACCAAUAUCUCCAAAGUUUCCAACUUCACUAUAUAUUAGUUCCUUGAUCCAAUACCAAAACCAAGCAAGCAAAUGCCACACAGAAAAUCGGGACAGGGACAAGAUAUGGACCUAGCAAAUCAAUAGACUCAGUUCAGAGGUAUAUGCUUGCAUUUGCGUGGCCAAUCAUCAUUGUUUUUUUUUUUUAAUUUUUUUUUAUCAUUUUUUUCGCCGCUGGGGAUGUAUGAUGGUUUGUUGACGAGGAACAAAUCAGAGAAAGGGUAACACCUUAGCAAACACUCGUGUUUGCUAAGGGGAAAAAGACACCAAUUUCAGUAACAGUGAUUGCAACUUUUCUUGGCAUGCGGCAAUUCUUUCAGCCCCAAGGAGGGGGGGAAAAGUGUUAUCCUUGGACUUCACCUUUAGGCCAAGCAGGGUACACCUAAUAUUCAAGGAACGGUUAGUGACAAAAUGUGGCUGAGGGCCUGAGACUCGAUACGUCAGGGGAUCCAAAGCAGACCAUAAGAACCAGGCAAGAAUAUCAAUUUUACUAGAGAUGCGAAACCCGAGGAGAGAAAGAAACGACAUAAGGUCCUUUUGGAGAGUAUUAUCACAGAUGUGAAUGUGAUGCGAUGCGACAAAAAAAGUGAAUGUGAUGCGGCUUCAGAGUAGAAUAUCGUGUUAGAUUGCAGAGGCGAUGAACCACCAUCACAUCAUUGACUCUUUAAGUAUACGCUAUAUUUACCUGGAUUAUCUGGGAUUAACACACGAUAGUAUCACAAGCUUACUUCCAGUUCUGCCCCAACAAUGAAAGAAUCCAAACGGGGUUAAGGCUCAACCUACUGAAAAGAAUUCAAUGUUCCGGGAUAGGGGAUUCUCUUACUGAGGCCCAAAUAGAUUGGCUCUUUAAGUAAUUAUCUCAACCCUAACAAUUAAGAAUGUCUAGGCAUUUUCAUUGCUACCGUGGUUAACCCCAGGAUUCCAACUUCAAUCACCAAAAAUCACCACAGGAGCAUAUUCCUUUCCGGAAAUGGUGGAACCUCAAGUUAUCCCUAACAACUAUCUCCCUGCUCGUGAGCUGAGAUGCUCUGCUCAUUACAGAGUGGCAGUCCUCACAUAUUCUCAGGUUCUUGGUGAUUCUGAUAACACAAUUAGCACUUGUAGUUAGCAGGGAAUACGCCAAAGCGAGCUUUUCACUAUGCGUUAGAAGGAUCCGCUCCUUUUCUUCAUCACUUACAUCAUAAGGAGCAGAACUUAGUAUUGGCUGAUAGCCAUGGACCUUUAGUCUCUUAAGAAGAUCCUGUAGUGUCUGCUUAAUCAAUUUAGACUCUGGAUGAAUCGUGUCAUCAGAAUAGAAGUUGUGAAGUCCCCCAUUUUCAUCUUCAACCAUGCUAAGUGAAGGAGUUUUUAUUAAACGUUUUGCUCUUAUCAACUUCCUUACUCUUGAAACAUCUUCCCACCUUCCAGCUGAAGCAUAGAUAUGGGAAAGCAAGACAUAGUUUCCAAUACCAUCAGGUUCAAGUUGAAACAGUUGCUUAGCAGCUAUUUCAGCAACCUUAGGAUUUCUAUGAAUUCGGCAAGCUCCUAGCAAGGCUCCCCAAAUGCUGCCAUUGGGCUCUAUUGGCAUCGUUUGAAUAAGUUCCAGUGCUUCUUCCAGUCUUCCAGCUCUGCCAAGGAGAUCAAUCAUGCAAGUAUAGUGGUCAACAGACGGCUUAAUACCACAACCAUUCUUCAUCAUUCCAAAGAAAUGCUGACCUUGUUCUACCAAGCCUGCAUGACUACAUGCGGCAAGGACCCCGACAAAAGUCACCUUAUUAGGCUUCACCUCAACCUUCAUCAUCUUCUCAAACAACUCUAUUGCUUCUCUAGCACAUCCGUGCAUUGCAAACCCACCAAUCAUUGAACUAUAAGAGAAAACAUUUCGAUCCUUCAUACUCUCAAAAACCUUAAAUGCAUCCUCCACACUCCCACACUUCGAGUACAUAUCAAUUAAUGCCGACCCAACAAGGACAUUAUCCGUAAGUCCAAAUCCUGACUUCUCUGCAAAAUCCCGGACCCAAUUUGCGUACUUGAUUGCACCCAAUUGAGCACAAGCUGAAAUAACACUAGACAAGGUCACUUCAUCCGUGUUUACCCCAGAAUUCUGCAUUUUCUCAAAGUACUCUAACGCUUCCUUAGGCUGAGCAUUCUGUGCAAACCCUGUCACCAUCGCGGUCCAUGCCACCAUAUCCUUCACAGGAAGCCUAUCAAACAACUCGCUUGCCGCCACCAUAUCCCCGCUCUUCGCAUAUGCAACGAUCAAAGCUGUAAAAGAAAUGACGUCCCUCGUGGGCAAUUCAUCAAAUACCCUCCUAGCAAAAUCCAAGCACCCACAUUUUACAUACAUAUCAAUCAACGUAUUUCCCACAAAUAAAUCCUGGACAAACCCACCAAUCUUCAAGCUUUGCCCAUGAAUUUGCCUGCCCAAAUCCACAUUCAACACGCCAGUACAAGCCUUCAACAAUGCCGUAAAAGUAAAUGAAACGGGCAAAAUAUCAUCCCUCCUCAUUUGGCCAUACAAAAAUACGGCCUUUUCUAGUGGCCCCUGAACAGAAUAACCGCGGAUAAUUGCUGUAUAGAGAAAAGGGUUGGGGCAAUAUACCUGGCUGAAGAUCAGACGGGCGUAAGUAUCGAUGGGGGUAUUGAGUUUGCAGAGCACCCGAACGAGUUUUGUUAGGAGGAAGCUGCAUUGGUCGAGACCUUUUCUGAUGAUAUGAGCGUGGACUCUCUUGAUUUCUGUGAGACUAAUGCAGGAAUCGAGGAUUGAGACGAGCUGGGCUUCUAGAAGCUUUGUUUCUUGAAGCUUAGAGACGGGAAUGAAGGGUUCUUGGAGGUCCAGAGCUGGAGCUUUCGGUUCGUAGAAUUGGGGGAUGAGAAUUGCAGGGCGUCUAAGGGUUUUAAUCAGCUUCUUGGAAAGUGAAACCAUCACAUAUUUUGCACAGAAUUUGUGGACUAGAAGUGGCCGUUUGGGGAUGCAGAAGAGAGUGAAUUUUGUGUUGGCGCCAAAUAACAGCAAUCUGUUGUUAAAUUUGAGAGUAAACAAGAGGGUGUAGUCGUCAGCGCAAGGUAGUGAAGAAUUGACGCUACUAAUUGCCAAACCAAUUUUCUUUUUCUUUUUAUUGUUAUGCUUAGAUAAUAUGUAGAUAAUGAAAACUUGUAAUUUAUCUGCAUGAAGCAUAAUGAUUAUUAUAUGUUUACUUCAACAAAACUAAAGUUGUGAUAGUAAAAUAUUUGAAAAUUUUUUUUUUAAAAAAUAUUAUAACACUUUUUUUUUUUAUAUGAAGUAUGCGACAUAUAAGAAAUAAUAAAAAAAAAAUGCGUUAAUAAUGCCCAUAAAUACAAACAAGCCCAGUUCCGUAAACAUCUUCAAAACGUUGUGAAGAUAUUUAUAUUUCUGAGUUGGAUGCGCUUUAAACGGUUUAAUAAACCAACCACCAAAAAGAUAAAGGCCUCAUGAAAAAGACAACCAUAUAUAAGUUACUCGUGCAACAAAUGUUCAUCAUCGGGGCCUGUUUAUGAUAGUAAUUGGUAAAAGAAGAAAAGAACAGGAAAAUUUGCAGAGGGAAAAGGAGGUUAGUUAAUUAGUAGGGGCACUAAUCAUAUAGCAAAUAAUCGGCUUUCAUAUGACUAACCAACAUCAUACAGCAUAUAUAUAUUUUGACAAACCUACUAAUGAUGUACAGCUCAAACAAAAAAAUACCAAAGGUUUUCACUACCAUAAUGAGCAGCAGCAGAUUAGUGUGCUUUCUGGUGUGCCUUGACGUUCCGAAGCACAUCCUUCAGAACCGCUGCAAUUCUUUGCUCCAUAUGGCGUUCUAAAAACCUUUCUUUCACCCUCUCAUAGCCUCUCUUCCCCAUCGUCAGUCUCCUUUCAACAUGAGUAGCAAGUUUAACCAUAUUUCUCGCAAGAGGCAUUACUCCCUGUUUCCCUACCGGAUGCAGAAGACCUGUUGAUCCAUUCACCACAAUUUCUUGAGUGCCACCUGCUGCUGUUCCCUGAAAAUCAAGCCAUAAUCAAGCAGUCAUAAGAUAACCUAUACUCUGAAUCAACCGAAUGUCCUCAAGAAUAUAGAAGAGCUAAAAUCUCAUGCAUUUUUUACUGGAACAGAUGUCAGAGAUUCAGGGCAACCAUACCAGUACGGGUAACUGAAAUGCCAUGGCUUCAAUUGUUAUCCUCCCAAAGCACUCACCUCGUGCCUACAUGGAGGGAUGAGGAUGUAGAUAUUAGUACCGACACCGAGACCGAGAUCAAGAUACAUUUCACAAACACCCUAAAAAAGUCGUACAAAAUAGCAGACAAACUUGUUUCACAAUGAGAUUUUUAAAUUGUUAACAAAUUCACAACUAUGGUUCUCUUUGAGUCCUCCCUUAAUUGCAUGACGUCAUUUGUAGAAUUCAAAUCUAACAAAAGCAUGUAGAAUCACAUGCUCAUGGGUUGCAAAUCAAACAGGAAUAAAAUUUUUGGGAAAAUAUAUCUACACUAUAUACUGGACUCAUCUUUCAUUUGAAAUGAGAACUUAAUUUUACCACUACUGGACCCAUAUUUAGGCAAAAGGGAAGAGGGGGAAAUAAAAACAUCAAAAGUGAGCUCAGCAAUUGAAGUUCUAAGAAUGCAAUAAGUCGGCUAGUGUAGCUUUUCAACUGCCCAGGCAAAAAGGACCCACGAGAGAAAAAAUCUUUCCAGUGUUUGGUGCAAAAGGAAAAUGCGAUCAAAUUGACCUUUUACUACUUUUGCUACAUAGAACGUGCCUUUUUUGUGCAAUUUAUGACAUUAAACCGAAAAAGCUUCCAGCCAGCCUUCUAAAUAUUUGAAUAGGUUUUUUUAUUAAAUUUGAUUGGCAAUGGCAUGUUACAAUGUUCAGUAAAACAUACAGAACUUACAAAAUAAUAAUUAGGAACAGGUCACAAUUCCAAAUAACUUUCUCCUAUCUAGGACAUGGUGGAUAUGGUUUUUCUAACAAUUUUUUAAGAUUGUCGGCCGUGCAGUUUCUCUAAAUUAUACAUGUAUUUGGAGAAAAUAAAUAGAUAACAAAUACUGAAUGUGCAUGGGGGCAAAAGAACGUAAAUUGCAGCCAGAGAUUUGCAAAGUUAACAGCGGCAGCAGAUAAAAAUGAUUUACCUGAGAAUUCUGGACAAGAACAUCAAUUGCAGCAAGAUAAGGAGCUACAGCCAGAGUCUUAUUAACGAAAUGAACAUGACCCUGAAUCUUUUUAGAUUCAACAAAGGCCCUCAGCUCAGACUCAAAUUUGCUUUGAGCAUUUACAUCACUCCCCACAAUUGCAGCGUGUAUAGGUGGCACUUGUAGCUUCUGGUGCUUGAUGUAUAUUAGGCUCUCGUGAAAAGAAUUCAGAAACAAAUCUUGUCCUUUUCCACGAGAAACACCUACAGCAUUACAACCACCAAACCAUCAAACAAAAAUAAAAAUAAAAGCAUGAAUAUUUACUUAGCAAGUCUUAUAAGCAGAACAGACAAAAUAUUCACUGUCGGUGAUUUGCAAACAUCAGUACAACCUCCUCAUACAAAUAUGCCAAUAAGUAAAAAGAUCAUUUAUACAUAGAAGACUUGCAAAAUGAAGAUGCCCAAUAAAUCAAGUUAAGCCAAAAAAAAAAAAA